rnacentral:rRNA from 1 species
UCGAACGGUAGCACAGAGAGCUUGCUCUCGGGUGACGAGUGGCGGACGGGUGAGUAAUGUCUGGGAAACUGCCUGAUGGAGGGGGAUAACUACUGGAAACGGUAGCUAAUACCGCAUAACGUCGCAAGACCAAAGAGGGGGACCUUCGGGCCUCUUGCCAUCAGAUGUGCCCAGAUGGGAUUAGCUAGUAGGUGGGGUAACGGCUCACCUAGGCGACGAUCCCUAGCUGGUCUGAGAGGAUGACCAGCCACACUGGAACUGAGACACGGUCCAGACUCCUACGGGAGGCAGCAGUGGGGAAUAUUGCACAAUGGGCGCAAGCCUGAUGCAGCCAUGCCGCGUGUAUGAAGAAGGCCUUCGGGUUGUAAAGUACUUUCAGCGGGGAGGAAGGUGUUGCGGUUAAUAACCGCAGCAAUUGACGUUACCCGCAGAAGAAGCACCGGCUAACUCCGUGCCAGCAGCCGCGGUAAUACGGAGGGUGCAAGCGUUAAUCGGAAUUACUGGGCGUAAAGCGCACGCAGGCGGUCUGUCAAGUCGGAUGUGAUAUCCCCGGGCUCAACCUGGGAACUGCAUUCGAAACUGGCAGGCUAGAGUCUUGUAGAGGGGGGUAGAAUUCCAGGUGUAGCGGUGAAAUGCGUAGAGAUCUGGAGGAAUACCGGUGGCGAAGGCGGCCCCCUGGACAAAGACUGACGCUCAGG